GGGGUGUUAGCUCAGCUGGUUCAGAGCACCUGCCUUACAAGCAGGGGGUCACUGGUUCGAAUCCAGUACGCCCCACCA
rnacentral:tRNA from 2 species